rnacentral:rRNA from 1 species
GACGAACGCUGGCGGCGUGCCUAAUACAUGCAAGUCGAGCGAACAGACGAGGCGUUUUUUUUUCUUUCGCUACCGGCGGACGGGUGAGACACGCGCGACUAACCUACCUAUAUGACUGGACUACCUUCGACAAACGGGAGCACCUAACAAUUCAUAUCUUCAACUGUAUGGAUCCUUAGUGACAGACGGCUUUGCUAUCUAUAAUAGAUGCCUCCGCGCCGCAUUAGCUAGUUGGUAAGGUAACGGCUUACCAAGGCAACGAUGCGUAGCCGACCUGAGAGGGUGAUCGGCCACACUGGAACUGAGACACGGUCCAGACUCCUACGGGAGGCAGCAGUAGGGAAUCUUCCGCAAUGGGCGAAAGCUUGACGGAGCAACGCCGCGUGAGUGAUGAAGGUCUUCGGAUCGUAAAACUCUGUUAUUAGGGAAGAACAAAUGUGUAAGUAACUGUGCACGUCUUGACGGUACCUAAUCAGAAAGCCACGGCUAACUACGUG